GACGAACGCUGGCGGCGUGCUUAACACAUGCAAGUCGAACGAUGAUCAGGAGCUUGCUCCUGUGAUUAGUGGCGAACGGGUGAGUAACACGUGAGUAACCUGCCCCUGACUCUGGGAUAAGCGUUGGAAACGACGUCUAAUACUGGAUAUGAUCACUGGCCGCAUGGUCUGGUGGUGGAAAGAUUUUUUGGUUGGGGAUGGACUCGCGGCCUAUCAGCUUGUUGGUGAGGUAAUGGCUCACCAAGGCGACGACGGGUAGCCGGCCUGAGAGGGUGACCGGCCACCAUGGGACUGAGACACGGCCCAGACUCCUACGGGAGGCAGCAGUGGGGAAUAUUGCACAAUGGGCGAAAGCCUGAUGCAGCAACGCCGCGUGAGGGAUGACGGCCUUCGGGUUGUAAACCUCUUUUAGUAGGGAAGAAGCGAAAGUGACGGUACCUGCAGAAAAAGCACCGGCUAACUACGUGCCAGCCGCCGCCGUAA
rnacentral:rRNA from 1 species